UCAUCGUCUGAGCUGAUCACCAUGUUUUUUGAGAAAGCAGUUUGCCUCCUCGCCACCAUCGCUAUGUUUGCAGCAAUGGCUGUGGCAAGGCCCGAUCACCAGGAUUUGCCAGACAACCACGGACUUGCCUGAUGCGUAAGCCCUAAUAAUCAGAGGGAAUGGUCAUCAUCCACUGAAUCCUGUAACCACUACACACAGUGUGAAAUCAAAUUAAAUAAAACAGUCAUGCAU